rnacentral:rRNA from 1 species
AUUGAACGCUGGCGGCAUGCCUUACACAUGCAAGUCGAACGGUAACGGGUCCUUCGGGAUGCCGACGAGUGGCGAACGGGUGAGUAAUAUAUCGGAACGUGCCCAGUAGUGGGGGAUAACUGCUCGAAAGAGCAGCUAAUACCGCAUACGACCUGAGGGUGAAAGGGGGGGAUCGCAAGACCUCUCGCUAUUGGAGCGGCCGAUAUCAGAUUAGCUAGUUGGUGGGGUAAAGGCCUACCAAGGCAACGAUCUGUAGUUGGUCUGAGAGGACGACCAGCCACACUGGGACUGAGACACGGCCCAGACUCCUACGGGAGGCAGCAGUGGGGAAUUUUGGACAAUGGGCGCAAGCCUGAUCCAGCAAUGCCGCGUGCAGGAAGAAGGCCUUCGGGUUGUAAACUGCUUUUGUCAGGGAAGAAAUCUUCUGGGCUAAUACCCCGGGAGGAUGACGGUACCUGAAGAAUAAGCACCGGCUAACUACGUGCCAGCAGCCGCGGUAAUACGUAGGGUGCGAGCGUUAAUCGGAAUUACUGGGCGUAAAGCGUGCGCAGGCGGCUUUGCAAGACAGAUGUGAAAUCCCCGGGCUCAACCUGGGAACUGCAUUUGUGACUGCAAGGCUAGAGUACGGCAGAGGGGGAUGGAAUUCCGCGUGUAGCAGUGAAAUGCGUAGAUAUGCGGAGGAACACCAAUGGCGAAGGCAAUCCCCUGGGCCUGUACUGACGCUCAUGCACGAAAGCGUGGGGAGCAAACAGGAUUAGAUACCCUGGUAGUCCACGCCCUAAACGAUGUCAACUGGUUGUUGGACGGCUUGCUGUUCAGUAACGAAGCUAACGCGUGAAGUUGACCGCCUGGGGAGUACGGCCGCAAGGUUGAGACUCAAAGGAAUUGACGGGGACCCGCACAAGCGGUGGAUGAUGUGGUUUAAUUCGAUGCAACGCGAAAAACCUUACCUACCCUUGACAUGUCAAGAAUUCUGCAGAGAUGUGGAAGUGCUCGAAAGAGAACUUGAACACAGGUGCUGCAUGGCCGUCGUCAGCUCGUGUCGUGAGAUGUUGGGUUAAGUCCCGCAACGAGCGCAACCCUUGUCAUUAGUUGCUACGCAAGAGCACUCUAAUGAGACUGCCGGUGACAAACCGGAGGAAGGUGGGGAUGACGUCAGGUCCUCAUGGCCCUUAUGGGUAGGGCUACACACGUCAUACAAUGGCCGGUACAGAGGGCUGCCAACCCGCGAGGGGGAGCCAAUCCCAGAAAACCGGUCGUAGUCCGGAUCGUAGUCUGCAACUCGACUGCGUGAAGUCGGAAUCGCUAGUAAUCGCGGAUCAGCUUGCCGCGGUGAAUACGUUCCCGGGUCU